rnacentral:rRNA from 1 species
UACAGAGGGUGCAAGCGCUGUUCGGAUUUACUGGGCGUAAAGCGUGCGUAGGCGGUAUUGAGAGUCGCAGGUGAAAUCCCAGGGCUUAACCCUGGAACUGCCCGCGAGACCUCAGUACUAGAGUGUGAGAGGGGAUAGUGGAAUACCAAGUGUAGCGGUGGAAUGCGUAGAGAUUUGGUGGAACACCGGUGGCGAAGGCGGCUAUCUGGCUCACAACUGACGCUCAGGCACGAAAGCAUGGGGAGCAAACAGG